AGCUUUGCGCAGAGGCAAUAUCGUAACCGAUGAGGUUCUGCCGAGGUGCGAUUAUUGCUAGUUGAAAACUUAAACCAAUACCCCGCCAUGGGCACGUGAAAUACCGUGCACUACGGCAAUUUUUGGGGGCCUCUCAAAGG